rnacentral:rRNA from 1 species
GACGAACGCUGGCGGCGUGCCUAAUACAUGCAAGUCGAGCGAGCGGAACUAACAGAUUUACUUCGGUAAUGACGUUAGGAAAGCGAGCGGCGGAUGGGUGAGUAACACGUGGGGAACCUGCCCCAUAGUCUGGGAUACCACUUGGAAACAGGUGCUAAUACCGGAUAAGAAAGCAGAUCGCAUGAUCAGCUUUUAAAAGGCGGCGUAAGCUGUCGCUAUGGGAUGGCCCCGCGGUGCAUUAGCUAGUUGGUAAGGUAAAGGCUUACCAAGGCGAUGAUGCAUAGCCGAGUUGAGAGACUGAUCGGCCACAUUGGGACUGAGACACGGCCCAAACUCCUACGGGAGGCAGCAGUAGGGAAUCUUCCACAAUGGACGCAAGUCUGAUGGAGCAACGCCGCGUGAGUGAAGAAGGUUUUCGGAUCGUAAAGCUCUGUUGUUGGUGAAGAAGGAUAGAGGUAGUAACUGGCCUUUAUUUGACGGUAAUCAACCAGAAAGUCACGGCUAACUACGUGCCAGCAGCCGCGGUAAUACGUAGGUGGCAAGCGUUGUCCGGAUUUAUUGGGCGUAAAGCGAGCGCAGGCGGAAGAAUAAGUCUGAUGUGAAAGCCCUCGGCUUAACCGAGGAACUGCAUCGGAAACUGUUUUUCUUGAGUGCAGAAGAGGAGAGUGGAACUCCAUGUGUAGCGGUGGAAUGCGUAGAUAUAUGGAAGAACACCAGUGGCGAAGGCGGCUCUCUGGUCUGCAACUGACGCUGAGGCUCGAAAGCAUGGGUAGCGAACAGGAUUAGAUACCCUGGUAGUCCAUGCCGUAAACGAUGAGUGCUAAGUGUUGGGAGGUUUCCGCCUCUCAGUGCUGCAGCUAACGCAUUAAGCACUCCGCCUGGGGAGUACGACCGCAAGGUUGAAACUCAAAGGAAUUGACGGGGGCCCGCACAAGCGGUGGAGCAUGUGGUUUAAUUCGAAGCAACGCGAAGAACCUUACCAGGUCUUGACAUCUAGUGCCAUUUGUAGAGAUACAAAGUUCCCUUCGGGGACGCUAAGACAGGUGGUGCAUGGCUGUCGUCAGCUCGUGUCGUGAGAUGUUGGGUUAAGUCCCGCAACGAGCGCAACCCUUGUUAUUAGUUGCCAGCAUUAAGUUGGGCACUCUAAUGAGACUGCCGGUGACAAACCGGAGGAAGGUGGGGAUGACGUCAAGUCAUCAUGCCCCUUAUGACCUGGGCUACACACGUGCUACAAUGGGCAGUACAACGAGAAGCGAGCCUGCGAAGGCAAGCGAAUCUCUGAAAGCUGUUCUCAGUUCGGACUGCAGUCUGCAACUCGACUGCACGAAGCUGGAAUCGCUAGUAAUCGCGGAUCAGCACGCCGCGGUGAAUACGUUCCCGGGCCUUGUACACACCGCCCGUCACACCAUGGGAGUCUGCAAUGCCCAAAGCCGGUGGCCUAACCUUCGGGAAGGAGCCGUCUAAGGCAGGGCAGAUGACUGGGGUG